rnacentral:lncRNA from 1 species
AUGACAUUUGAGAUAGCAAUUUUACCAAGCCCUUUGAACUUGCCUUUCUUGUUGUUGCCGAAAGUGAUAGAAUCAAAGCCACCAUUUUGAUUUGUAUCAAUUGAUUUGAACAUACAAGACUCCCCGGUCAUAUGUUGAGUGCACCCACUAUCAAGAACCCAAUGCCUUCCUCCAGCCUUGUAAUUGGCCUACAAGAAAAGAUCAAUUCCUUUUAGGUACCCAAACUUGAUUGGGUCCUCCAAGGUUAGCAACUAAGCUCUUUGGUACCCAAAUGGCUUUCUUCUUUGAGCCCAUCC